AGUUUGGUGUAGUGGUUUAAGUGUUGGAUUAUGACUCUGGAGACCAGGGUUCGAAUCCCCGCUCAGCCA